rnacentral:rRNA from 1 species
UACGUAGGGUGCGAGCGUUAAUCGGAAUUACUGGGCGUAAAGCGUGCGCAGGCGGUUUGCUAAGACCGAUGUGAAAUCCCCCGGGCUUAACCUGGGAACUGCAUUGGUGACUGGCAGGCUAGAGUAUGGCAGAGGGGGGGUAGAAUUCCACGUGUAGCAGUGAAAUGCGUAGAGAUGUGGAGGAAUACCGAUGGCGAAGGCAGCCCCCUGGGCCAAUACUGACGCUCAUGCACGAAAGGCGUGGGGAGCAAACGAGG